rnacentral:rRNA from 1 species
CUAUAAUGCAGUCGAGCGCUUGCACAAGAAAGCUUGCUUUCUUGUUGCUUGAGCGGCGGACGGGUGAGUAACACGUGGGCAACCUGCCUAUAAGACUGGGAUAACUUCGGGAAACCGGAGCUAAUACCGGAUAAUGCUUUUGAACACAUGUUUGAAAGCUGAAAGAUGGUUUCGGCUAUCACUUAUAGAUGGGCCCGCGGCGCAUUAGCUAGUUGGUGAGGUAACGGCUCACCAAGGCGACGAUGCGUAGCCGACCUGAGAGGGUGAUCGGCCACACUGGGACUGAGACACGGCCCAGACUCCUACGGGAGGCAGCAGUAGGGAAUCUUCCGCAAUGGACGAAAGUCUGACGGAGCAACGCCGCGUGAGUGAUGAAGGUUUUCGGAUCGUAAAACUCUGUUGUUAGGGAAGAACAAGUACCGGAGUAACUGCCGGUACCUUGACGGUACCUAACCAGAAAGCCACGGCUAUCUACGUGCCAGCAGCCGCGGUAAUACGUAGGUGGCAAGCGUUGUCCGGAAUUAUUGGGCGUAAAGCGCGCGCAGGCGGUUCCUUAAGUCUGAUGUGAAAGCCCACGGCUCAACCGUGGAGGGUCAUUGGAAACUGGGGAACUUGAGUGCAGAAGAGAAGAGCGGAAUUCCACGUGUAGCGGUGAAAUGCGUAGAGAUGUGGAGGAACACCAGUGGCGAAGGCGGCUCUUUGGUCUGUAACUGACGCUGAGGCGCGAAAGCGUGGGGAGCAAACAGGAUUAGAUACCCUGAUAGUCCACGCCGUAAACGAUGAGUGCUAAGUGUUAGAGGGUUUCCGCCCUUUAGUGCUGCAGCAAACGCAUUAAGCACUCCGCCUGGGG